rnacentral:rRNA from 2 species
UACGUAGGGGGCGAGCGUUGUCCGGAUUUAUUGGGCGUAAAGAGCUCGUAGGCGGCUCGGUAAGUCGGAUGUGAAACCUCCAGGCUCAACCUGGAGACGCCAUCUGAUACUGCCGUGGCUUGAGUCCGGUAGAGGAGCAGGGAAUUCCUGGUGUAGCGGUGAAAUGCGCAGAUAUCAGGAGGAACACCAGCGGCGAAGGCGCUGCUCUGGGCCGGUACUGACGCUGAGGAGCGAAAGCGUGGGGAGCGAACAGG